AUUAAUAGACUUUAAAAGUAUUUCAUUCAACAAGCGUUUAUUGGAAAUGAUAAAAAGAACACCGCGAAUGGAUUGUGGCAAUAUGAAAAUUUAUUAAGCCAAAUUUCAAUUAAGGCAUAGGCUUCACUCGAAGUUCGAUUAUGUCCCUAAGUUAUUCCGCAUAUGUCUAUGUCAAAACUAACAUAGAAAUCACCCUUUCGAGCAUUUACACAGUUUAUGCAUACAAUAAUCAUCUUUUGAUAUCGACAUGAUAUGCACCAUUUAAGUGUGUUUUGAAUUAACCAUUACCUCUUCUUAGACUAAACAGUUAAUUCAUUAACUUACAAAUGUUGGCCAUACAUUUACAAGUAGAAUCAUGAAUUAAACUUAAAUGAAUAAAAUAACCAUUUGCACAAAAUAUUAAAAAAAACUAAUUAACUCAAAUAGAGAUUCAUAUUCAUACUAAAUAAAAAAAAUUAAGUUAUGUCAUAUUAAAUUUGCAAUAAAGAGAAAGGGAGAAAGAGUAGCUGAGGGGGGUUAUCCAUGGCCAUUUCUCGAUAAGAAAAGGAAACACUUGAAGUGCAGGCAGUUAUCUGUAACUGUUACUUGCGGCUACCCAUGGUGGGUCUCCUCCUCAUCUUUAUACUAAAUCAUCUAAACGCCUUCAAGUCAUCCUUCCUAGUUGCUCUCAUUUUCGACAAGUGUAUGCCUUAUUUUGUGGUGAUCAAGUGUUUAGCAAGCCAUGAGAAAGGCAAGAACGCUCAAAGGAAUUUUUCAUUGAAAUCUAAUGUAGA
rnacentral:lncRNA from 1 species